UGUACUCAUUCUCCCGGUCCACGUCUUCAGC
rnacentral:piRNA from 1 species